rnacentral:rRNA from 1 species
CCCAGACUCCUACGGGAGGCAGCAGUGGGGAAUAUUGCACAAUGGGGGAAACCCUGAUGCAGCGACGCCGCGUGAGUGAAGAAGUAUUUCGGUAUGUAAAGCUCUAUCAGCAGGGAAGAUAAUGACGGUACCUGACUAAGAAGCCCCGGCUAACUACGUGCCAGCAGCCGCGGUAAUACGUAGGGGGCAAGCGUUAUCCGGAUUUACUGGGUGUAAAGGGUGCGCAGGUGGCAGGGCAAGUCAGAUGUGAAAGCCCGGGGCUCAACCCCGGUAUUGCAUUUGAAACUGUCCGGCUAGAGUGCAGGAGAGGUAAGCGGAAUUCCUAGUGUAGCGGUGAAAUGCGUAGAUAUUAGGAGGAACACCAGUGGCGAAGGCGGCUUACUGGACUGUAACUGACACUGAGGCACGAAAGCGUGGGGAGCAAACAGGAUUAGAUACCCGGGUACCC